rnacentral:rRNA from 1 species
UACGUAGGCAGCAAGCGUUGUUCGGAGUUACUGGGCGUAAAGAGUGAGUAGGCGGUUUCGUAAGUUUGGUGUGAAAUCUCCCGGCUUAACUGGGAGGGUGCGCCGAAAACUGCGGGGCUGGAGUGUGGGAGAGGUAAGCGGAAUUCCUGGUGUAGCGGUGAAAUGCGUAGAUAUCUGUAGGAACACCCGUGGCGAAGGCGGCUCGCUGGACUGCAACUGACGCUGAGGAACGAAAGCUAGGGGAGCAAACAGG